UGGCUAAAAGCCAAUUUUAGAGAUGAUCUCCUUCUCAUAAAACUUGACUGCUUGAAUCACCUCUCAGAAAUCAAGUUAAAUGCCUGACAGUGUAGGAUUGGAACAGGACUGGGGUGAACUCAUCCUUUAAAAAAUCCAUUCUGCGUCUUAAGAUAUAAACAAAUUAGAUCAAAUAGACAUUCCAUUCAGUUUCAUUGGGUCAUUGUAUGAAUAUUAAAGACCUCAACAGCUCUAUUGUACGCCUGUUUGACUGAGUCCAUGUUAUGUUUACGUAUGUAGAUGUAUUAAUGCACCCAUUUGUGGUUUGACAUAAUCCAGAUCAGAGGAUUUUUUUUUUUCACUUGAGAGUCAAAAUGUAAAAAUGUGUCUUGGCUGCACAGGUACAGAAUUAUGAGGAAAUGUAACCACUAAAGGCAUUUACAAGCAAUAAGAACUAUAGAAAAUAUGUACAUGCACAUUUUGAGUAAAGGUGUGAGUUAAGUGCCUCGUGAUGUUUAACCACUUCCUGUUGCAGGACCAUCAAAAUGACAGACUGACUUUGCAUCGCAACCCGAGGAAGAAAAGAAUACACCAUAUCAUUAUUUGACAAAAAUAAAUCAUUAAACGUAGUACAUCAUUUCAGUUAUAGCACAGAGGUGCUGUAUCUGCAGCUUACAAAUAUUUAACACAACACACCUACUCACUAAUACAUUCAAUAAUUAUUUUGUGUGUGUGUGUGUGUGUGUGUGUGUGUGUGUAUUUACAUGCAUAAAAAUGGUUACAGCAGCUAUUUAGUAAUUAUUAUUUUCACAGUCAGUUUCAUUUUGUAAUUUGACAUUAUUUAAAGCACCACUACUUAACUUGUAUUUUCUUUGAGUUCUAUAACCAAUUCAUCUCAUCUUCUGUGCUCAACAUCCGAACCUCCCACAGUCAUACCAGAUCAGACCUGUAUCACAAGUAAAGGUGAAGCAUACCGAGGCACCACUGCUGUAACUGAAUCUGGCAAAACAUGCCAGAGCUGGUCGGCUCAGACGCCACACCAACACGACCGCACGCCAGACAACUAUCCUGGAAAAGGCCUGGUUAACAACUACUGUCGUAACCCAGAAAAUGAGAGGAGACCCUGGUGUUACACUACUGACACUAAAAGCCGCUGGGAGUACUGCAGUGUACCACACUGUGAGGAUGCAGCCGGACCAGAUCCUAUUUUUCACCUGUCCACCAGUUGUAGAGUUAUUCCCGCCCUAACCCAUCACCUAAUCAGUCUCCUGACCCACUGACCUGCUUCCUAAAAACUCUCCAGCCUUUUGAUCAACCCGUCUGUGUGCAUGGACUCUUGCCUGUUUUUGAGACCUCCUUGUGUUACAUAACAAAUUUUGUGUGUCUGACUGUAUUACUGGUGCAAAUAUCCUGUGCAAUUAUCCAUCAUGGUCACAUCUGUAUAGUAACAGGUGUAUAUAGUGUAUACAGCUUUUAUAGUUUGAUUUUAUUUUUAUUUUUACCUUGUUUUUGUCUUAUUUAACACUCAAUCACUUUUUUCUUUGCAUUUGACUCUUGACCUGCUGGAACAAUUGAAUCUCACUAGUGUGGGAAGUUUAUCUUAUCUUAUUUUUUUUAUAUAAUUAUUGAUCAACUAAAGAGUGUCUUUGUCACUCAACCUCUCUCGUGAGUAUAUAUUUGAGUCCUCUCGGACUCUGAGGACCUCAGGGACCGGCCUCCUGCUGGUGCCCAGAGUCAGGACUAAACAUGGGGAAUCAGGAUUCCAGUUUUAUGCAGCUAAAAUCUGGAACAGUCUUUCUGAAGAUGUGAG